CAUGAUCUAUGGUGUCAAAUGCAGCACUAAGAUCAAGUAAAACUAGCAAUGAGAUGCAGCCUUGGUCUGACGUAAGAGGAUUUUAGGAUAUGCUGUAAUAAACAAGCAUCUAUUAUGCUGCCUUAAAAAUGGCCAGGGAUGUGUUUCCCAAAAGAACAUUUGCAAACUGCAUCGCACACUUAUGUGGUUGGAACUACAGCUCUUGACAUGUGCCUGUCCUCAAUAAGAGUCAUUUUUUGAAGAGUAUACAUGUGGAUAAAUGCAUAUGGAUUCUGGAACCCCGGAGUAUUACAUAAGGAGGAGCCUGCAAUAAAUAAAAUAUCAAUUCACAAGUUUGCCUG
ensembl:lncRNA